AAAAUAUCUUCGGCGAUUCCUUUUACACUUCUUCAUGUGAACUUCAGCAUACCUGUGGACUUCAUCAAGAACCAGGAAUAAUUGGCAAACGAGAGACCGAGAACGCCCGUUCAAGUGAAAACCUGCACGUAUGCGAUGCUUGCUGCUCCACAGAUCUUUGUAACAUAGAUUGUCAAACAGCUAUGCAACGUAUCAAUGGACAAUGGGCUGAGUGGUCUUCUUGGGGAUCGUGCUCGCUGACCUGCGGUGACGGCGUGCAAUCCAGACACCGAACAUGUACAAAUCCCUCACCGACAAAUGGCGGAGUCAUGUGCCCAGGAGAAG